CUACGGGGAUGAUAUGAAAACUGAACUCUCUCUUUCUGAUGGUUUAGUGGAGAAAACAAAAAUUCUCUGAGUAGC
ensembl:snoRNA Gm25894 predicted gene, 25894